CAACCCUUAUCCUUGUUUGCCAGCGAGUAAUGUCGGGAACUCCAGGGAGACUGCCAGUGAUAAACCGGAGGAAGGUGGGGAUGACGUCAAAUCAUCAUGCCCCUUAUGAUUUGGGCUACACACGUGCUACAAUGGACAAUACAAAGGGCAGCUAAACCGCGAGGUCAAGCAAAUCCCAUAAAGUUGUUCUCAGUUCGGAUUGUAGUCUGCAACUCGACUACAUGAAGCUGGAAUCGCUAGUAAUCGUAGAUCAGCAUGCUACGGUGAAUACGUUCCCGGGUCUUGUACACACCGCCCGUCACACCACGAGAGUUUGUAACACCCGAAGCCGGUGGAGUAACCAUUUAUGGAGCUAGCCGUCGAAGGUGGGACAAAUGAUUGGGGUGAAGUCGUAACAAGGUAGCCGUAUCGGAAGGUGCGGCUGGAUCACCUCCUUUCUAAGGAG
rnacentral:rRNA from 1 species